rnacentral:rRNA from 1 species
UACGGGGGGAGCAAGCGUUGUUCGGAUUUACUGGGCGUAAAGGGCGCGUAGGCGGCGCAACAAGUCACUUGUGGAAUCUCCGGGCUUAACCCGGAGCGGCCAAGUGAUACUGUCGUGCUAGAGUGCGGAAGGGGCUACUGGAAUUCCCGGUGUAGAGGUGAAAUUCGUAGAUAUCGGGAGGAACACCGGUGGCGAAGGCGGCGGCCUGGGUUGACACUGACGCUGAGGCGCGAAAGCGUGGGGAGCAAACAGG